GAAAAGUAAAAUGUAAUUUUAUUCUUUAAUCCAUAACAACGUAAAGUCAGAUAUACCAAAAAUGUAGCUUAUCCUCUAAGAUAGAGAGGAUAAGCUAGUCUGGCAUAAUAGAAAACAUGGGUGUUAAGUCAGGCUACCACCUUGCACACCAUCUCGAAGUGUUGCAAUCUUCGAUCUCAUCAGAGGAUCCAGGACCAGUUUCGGCCGCCAAUCGUUUUGCUUAUUGGAAACAAUUUUGGAAAAUUCAACUCUCUCCCAAGAUGUCUCUUUCUUUGGAAAGCCCUUAAAGAAAGACUCCCUUCGAACGUUCUCCUUCAUAAUCGAUUUGAAGGGUUUGCCUUUAAUUGUGCAGCUUGUGGUGUACCUGAAAAUCUAAAACAUCUCUUCUUUUCAUGUCCGAAGGCUAUUGAAGUUUGGUUCCGCCCCCCUGUCGUGCUGCGGUCAUCCUUUCUCCAAGGAAUUUCAAUGAUGGAGUGUUGGCAGAAUUAUUGAGCUUUAUUUCUCAUCAUCAACAUGAAAGCGGGCUAACUCAAUUUUUGGUCUGUGUUCUGGCACCUUUGGAAGAGCCACAAUCGGACACAAUUCCAUAACGAAGCGCCGCCAUUUCAACAGCUUAUCUCGAUAGUUUGUUCCCAGUGUGAAGAAUUUCAGGCUACUCUUCAUCAUCAGGUGCGUCGUGAUAAUAUCCCCAACCUGCAGGAAUCCUGGUCCACUCCUCCUAGGGACAACAUUAAAAUUAACUUUGAUGCAAGCACCUACAACAGAAGAAAGGUGGGAGCAAUCUCGGAUAUAGCUAGAGAUACUAUAGGCAACCAGUUGGUUAGUUCUACAAAAUAGGGCAAGC
rnacentral:misc_RNA from 1 species